rfam:Ciona savignyi cont_35610, whole genome shotgun sequence.
ACCCUACUGAUGAAGCGUUGUUGCCACAGUAAUCCUGCUCAGUACGAGAGGAACCGCAGAUUCAGACAUUUGGUUCAUGUGCUUGGCUGAUAAGCCAAUGGUGCGAAGCUACCAUCUGAGGGAUUAUGACUGAACGCCUCUAAGUCAGAAUCCCGCCUGGAAAGCGACGAUGCAUUCGUGCCUCGGCCUCGAGAGGCGUAGCUAGACGGCCGCGUGGCCGUGGAAAGAGCCCGAUUCCGACCCGAGAGGCCGCGGCAAGAGGCGGCCUCGAAGUCGGUGGAUCCUCCUGCUCGAAAGGCGGGGUGCUAAACCAUUCGCAGACGACCUAGUUGAAGAUCGGGGUGUCGUGAUCACUAGAGCAGUACAUCUCACUGCGAUUUGUUGAGAGUAAGCCUCAAGAUCUGUCGGUUUGU